rnacentral:lncRNA from 1 species
UAAUGUGCGUAUUGUUAUGCGUUUACUUUUCUACAUUGGUUAGAGGUAUAGGGGGAGGGUUGAGAUCUCACAAACAUGUUUAACCCCGCCGCAUUUUUGCGCCUGUCCCAAGUCAGGAGCCUCUGGCCUUUGUUAGUCUUGUAUUAUUCUAAUUUUAGUUUCUUGUGUACAAUUUGGAAAUUAGUAUGACGUUCAUUAUCACUGGACUAGUAUAUAUUUGUUUAGGGGCCAGCUGAAGGACGCCUCCGGGUGCGGGAAUUUCUCGCUACAUUGAAAACCUGUUGGUGACCCUCUGCUGUUGUUUUUUU